CCUCUGAUAGCUCAGUUGGCAGAGCGGUGGACUGUAGUGUUAUGUCAUAGACAUCCAUAGGUCGCUGGUUCAAGUCCGGCUCAGAGGA
rnacentral:tRNA from 1 species